rnacentral:rRNA from 1 species
GAACUGAAACAUCUAAGUACCCCGAGGAAAAGAAAUCAACCGAGAUUCCCCCAGUAGCGGCGAGCGAACGGGGAGCAGCCCAGAGCCUGAAUCAGUGUGUGUGUUAGUGGAAGCGUCUGGAAAGGCGCGCGAUACAGGGUGACAGCCCCGUACACAAAAAUGCACAUACUGUGAGCUCGAUGAGUAGGGCGGGACACGUGGUAUCCUGUCUGAAUAUGGGGGGACCAUCCUCCAAGGCUAAAUACUCCUGACUGA